UACGGGGGGGGCAAGCGUUGUUCGGAAUUACUGGGCGUAAAGGGCGCGUAGGCGGCCUGCUAAGUCGAACGUGAAAUCCCCGGGCUCAACCCGGGAACUGCGUCCGAUACUGGCAGGCUUGAAUCCGGGAGAGGGAUGCGGAAUUCCAGGUGUAGCGGUGAAAUGCGUAGAUAUCUGGAGGAACACCGGUGGCGAAGGCGGCAUCCUGGACCGGCAUUGACGCUGAGGCGCGAAAGCCAGGGGAGCAAACGGG
rnacentral:rRNA from 1 species